rnacentral:rRNA from 1 species
UACGAGGGGGGCAAGCGUUUGUUCGGAAUUAUUGGGCGUAAAGGGCUCGUAGGCGGUCUGUCACGUCGGGAGUGAAAACUCGGGGCUUAACCCCGAGCCUGCUUCCGAUACGGGCAGACUAGAGGUAUGCAGGGGAGAAUGGAAUUCCUGGUGUAGCGGUGAAAUGCGCAGAUAUCAGGAGGAACACCGGUGGCGAAGGCGGUUCUCUGGGCAUUACCUGACGUGAGGAGCGAAAAGUGUGGGGGAGCGAACAGG